AAGCUUCGACCAAGGUUCGAUUCGAGCGCAGCGAGAAAGCGUUGCCACAGGCAACGACCCGAAGGGCGAAGCGCGCAGCGCUGAGUCAUCCUUCCCCCCUCAUCC
rnacentral:sRNA from 1 species